UGGGGAAUCUUGCACAAUGGGGGCAACCCUGAUGCAGCGACGCCGCGUGAGCGAUGAAGCCCUUCGGGGCGUAAAGCUCUUUCGACCGGAACGAUAAUGACGGUACCGGGAGAAGAAGCUGCGGCUAACUACGUGCCAGCAGCCGCGGUAAUACGUAGGCAGCAAGCGUUGUUCGGAGUUACUGGGCGUAAAGAGUGCGUAGGCGGUUUUCUAAGUUCGGUGUGAAAUCUCCCGGCUUAACUGGGAGGGUGCGCCGAAGACUGGGAAGCUGGACUGUGGGAAAGGCAGGCGGAAUUCCUGGUGUAGCGGUGAAAUUCGUAGAUAUCAGGAGGAACACCGGCGGUGUAGACGGCUUGCUAGACCAUAACUGACGCUGAGGCACGAAAGCGUGGGUAGCAAACA
rnacentral:rRNA from 1 species